rnacentral:rRNA from 1 species
GACGAACGCUGGCGGCGUGCUUAACACAUGCAAGUCGAACGGUGAAGCGCCUUCCUUUUUGGUGGGUGUGGAUGAGUGGCGAACGGGUGAGUAACACGUGAGUAACCUGCCCCCUUCUUCUGGAUAACCGCAUGAAAGUGUGGCUAAUACGGGAUAUUCUGGGUCUGUCGCAUGAUGGGUCUGGGAAAGAUAUUGUUUCGGUGGGGGAUGGGCUCGCGGCCUAUCAGCUUGUUGGUGGGGUGACGGCCUACCAAGGCGGUGACGGGUAGCCGGCCUGAGAGGGUGGACGGUCACACUGGGACUGAGACACGGCCCAGACUCCUACGGGAGGCAGCAGUGGGGAAUAUUGCACAAUGGGCGCAAGCCUGAUGCAGCGACGCCGCGUGAGGGAUGGAGGCCUUCGGGUUGUGAACCUCUUUCGCCAGUGAAGCAGGCCUGCCUCGUUUGUGGGUGGGUUGACGGUAGCUGGAUAAGAAGCGCCGGCUAACUACGUG